ACCCGCUGAACUUAAGCAUAUCAAUAAGCGGAGGAAAAGAAACCAACAGGGAUUGCCUCAGUAACGGCGAGUGAAGCGGCAACAGCUCAAAUUUGAAAUCUGGCCUUUACGGUCCGAGUUGUAAUUUGUAGAGGAUGUUUUGGGUACCGCCGUGGUUUAAAUUUCUUGGAACAGAAUGUCAGAGAGGGUGAGAGUCCCGUCUUGGAUCGCGGUAGGGCCUGUGUAAAACUCCUUCGACGAGUCGACUUGCUUGGGAAUGCAGGUCAAAAUGGGUGGUAAAUUUCAUCUAAAGCUAAAUAUUGGCCAGAGACCGAUAGCGCACAAGUAGAGUGAUCGAAAGAUGAAAAGCACUUUGAAAAGAGAGUUAAACAGUAUGUGAAAUUGUUGAAAGGGAAGCGCUGGCAACCAGACUCGUGCGCGGGGUUCCCCCUUGCUUCUGCUUGGGUCAUUUCCCCGUGUCCGGGCCAUCAUCAGUUUCGGGGGCCGGUCAAAGGCCUUGGGAAUGUAUCUACUCCUCCGGGGGUAGACUUAUAGCCCAGGGUGUCAUGCGGCCACUCGGGACUGAGGAACGCGCUUCGGCGAGGAUGAUGGCGUAAUGGUUGU
rnacentral:rRNA from 1 species